rnacentral:rRNA from 2 species
UUAAGCGACUAAGCGUACACGGUGGAUGCCCUGGCAGUCAGAGGCGAUGAAGGACGUGCUAAUCUGCGAAAAGCGUCGGUAAGGUGAUAUGAACCGUUAUAGCCGGCGAUGUCCGAAUGGGGAAACCCAGUGUGAUUCGUCACACUAUCGUUAACUGAAUACAUAGGUUAACGAGGCGAACCGGGGGAACUGAAACAUCUAAGUACCCCGAGGAAAAGAAAUCAACCGAGAUUCCCCCAGUAGCGGCGAGCGAACGGGGAGCAGCCCAGAGUCUGAAUCAGCUUGUGUGUUAGUGGAACGGUCUGGAAAGUCCGACGGUACAGGGUGAUAGUCCCGUACACCAAAAUGCACAGGUUGUGAACUCGAAGAGUAGGGCGGGACACGUGGUAUCCUGUCUGAAUAUGGGGGGACCAUCCUCCAAGGCUAAAUACUCCUGACUGACCGAUAGUGAACCAGUACCGUGAGGGAAAGGCGAAAAGAACCCCGGCGAGGGGAGUGAAAAAGAACCUGAAACCGUGUACGUACAAGCAGUGGGAGCACCUUCGGGUGUGACUGCGUACCUUUUGUAUAAUGGGUCAGCGACUUAUAUUCUGUAGCAAGGUUAACCGUAUAGGGGAGCCGCAGGGAAACCGAGUCUUAACUGGGCGUUAAGUUGCAGGGUAUAGACCCGAAACCCGGUGAUCUAGCCAUGGGCAGGUUGAAGGUUGGGUAACACUAACUGGAGGACCGAACCGACUAAUGUUGAAAAAUUAGCGGAUGACUUGUGGCUGGGGGUGAAAGGCCAAUCAAACCGGGAGAUAGCUGGUUCUCCCCGAAAGCUAUUUAGGUAGCGCCUCGUGAACUCAUCUUCGGGGGUAGAGCACUGUUUCGGCUAGGGGGUCAUCCCGACUUACCAACCCGAUGCAAACUACGAAUACCGAAGAAUGUUAUCACGGGAGACACACGGCGGGUGCUAACGUCCGUCGUGAAGAGGGAAACAACCCAGACCGCCAGCUAAGGUCCCAAAGUCAUGGUUAAGUGGGAAACGAUGUGGGAAGGCACAGACAGCCAGGAUGUUGGCUUAGAAGCAGCCAUCAUUUAAAGAAAGCGUAAUAGCUCACUGGUCGAGUCGGCCUGCGCGGAAGAUGUAACGGGGCUAAACCAUGCACCGAAGCUGCGGCAGCGACACUAUGUGUUGUUGGGUAGGGGAGCGUUCUGUAAGCCUGCGAAGGUGACCUGUGAGGGUUGCUGGAGGUAUCAGAAGUGCGAAUGCUGACAUAAGUAACGAUAAAGCGGGUGAAAAGCCCGCUCGCCGGAAGACCAAGGGUUCCUGUCCAACGUUAAUCGGGGCAGGGUGAGUCGACCCCUAAGGCGAGGCCGAAAGGCGUAGUCGAUGGGAAACAGGUUAAUAUUCCUGUACUUGGUGUUACUGCGAAGGGGGGACGGAGAAGGCUAUGUUAGCCGGGCGACGGUUGUCCCGGUUUAAGCAUGUAGGCUGGUUAUCCAGGCAAAUCCGGAUAAUCAAGGCUGAGGUGUGAUGACGAGGCACUACGGUGCUGAAGUAACAAAUGCCCUGCUUCCAGGAAAAGCCUCUAAGCAUCAGGUAACAUCAAAUCGUACCCCAAACCGACACAGGUGGUCAGGUAGAGAAUACCAAGGCGCUUGAGAGAACUCGGGUGAAGGAACUAGGCAAAAUGGUGCCGUAACUUCGGGAGAAGGCACGCUGGUGUGUAGGUGAAGUCCCUGCGGAUGGAGCUGAGACCAGUCGAAGAUACCAGCUGGCUGCAACUGUUUAUUAAAAACACAGCACUGUGCAAACACGAAAGUGGACGUAUACGGUGUGACGCCUGCCCGGUGCCGGAAGGUUAAUUGAUGGGGUUAUCCGUAAGGAGAAGCUCUUGAUCGAAGCCCCGGUAAACGGCGGCCGUAACUAUAACGGUCCUAAGGUAGCGAAAUUCCUUGUCGGGUAAGUUCCGACCUGCACGAAUGGCGUAAUGAUGGCCAGGCUGUCUCCACCCGAGACUCAGUGAAAUUGAACUCGCUGUGAAGAUGCAGUGUACCCGCGGCAAGACGGAAAGACCCCGUGAACCUUUACUAUAGCUUGACACUGAACAUUGAGCCUUGAUGUGUAGGAUAGGUGGGAGGCUUUGAAGCGUGGACGCCAGUCUGCGUGGAGCCAACCUUGAAAUACCACCCUUUAAUGUUUGAUGUUCUAACGUUGGCCCCUUACCGGGGUUGCGGACAGUGUCUGGUGGGUAGUUUGACUGGGGCGGUCUCCUCCCAAAGCGUAACGGAGGAGCACGAAGGUUAGCUAAUCCUGGUCGGACAUCAGGAGGUUAGUGCAAUGGCAUAAGCUAGCUUGACUGCGAGCGUGACGGCGCGAGCAGGUGCGAAAGCAGGUCAUAGUGAUCCGGUGGUUCUGAAUGGAAGGGCCAUCGCUCAACGGAUAAAAGGUACUCCGGGGAUAACAGGCUGAUACCGCCCAAGAGUUCAUAUCGACGGCGGUGUUUGGCACCUCGAUGUCGGCUCAUCACAUCCUGGGGCUGAAGUAGGUCCCAAGGGUAUGGCUGUUCGCCAUUUAAAGUGGUACGCGAGCUGGGUUUAGAACGUCGUGAGACAGUUCGGUCCCUAUCUGCCGUGGGCGCUGGAGAAUUGAGGGGGGCUGCUCCUAGUACGAGAGGACCGGAGUGGACGCAUCACUGGUGUUCGGGUUGUCAUGCCAAUGGCACUGCCCGGUAGCUAAAUGCGGAAGAGAUAAGUGCUGAAAGCAUCUAAGCACGAAACUUGCCCCGAGAUGAGUUCUCCCUGAGACUUUAAGUCUCCUGAAGGAACGUUGAAGACGACGACGUUGAUAGGCCGGGUGUGUAAGCGCAGCGAUGCGUUGAGCUAACCGGUACUAAUGAACCGUGAGGCUUAACCUU